AGUGAACGCUGGCGGUAGGCCUAACACAUGCAAGUCGAACGGCAGCACAGUAAGAGCCUGCUCUUACGGGUGGCGAGUGGCGGACGGGUGAGGAAUACAUCGGAAUCUACUUUUUCGUGGGGGAUCACGUAGGGAAACUUACGCUAAUACCGCAUACGACCUACGGGUGAAAGCAGUGGAACUUCGGACCUUGCGCGAUUGAAUGAGCCGAUGUCGGAUUAGCUAGUUGGCGGGGUAAUGGCCCACCAAGGCGACGAUCCGUAGCUGGUGUGAGAGGAUGAUCAGCCGCACUGGAACUGAGACACGGUCCAGACUCCUACGGGAGGCAGCAGUGGGGAAUAUUGGACAAUGGGCGCAAGCCUGGUCCAGCCAUACCGCGUGGGUGAAGAAGGCCUUCGGGUUGUAAAGCCCUUUUGUUGGGAAAGAAAAGCAGCAGGUUAAUACCCCGCUGUUCUGACGGUACCCAAAGAAUAAGCACCGGCUAACUUCGUG
rnacentral:rRNA from 1 species